rnacentral:lncRNA from 13 species
AAAAGGAUUACAAGGUAGUUUAGAAAAACAUAUUUUGUGCUUCCUGUUUGUACUCACAUCACAGAGCAUAGCAGUCUACAUUAACAUGAAAGACUGCCAGUAUUAUUUUCCCAAGAAUAUUAUAGUGUUGUAUUCUGAAGUUGAAAGAACACGACCCUGAAUUUAGCAGCAACCCACCUUCAAACAG